rnacentral:misc_RNA from 1 species
GAUGAAGAACGUAGCGAAAUGCGAUACGUAAUGUGAAUUGCAGAAUUCAGUGAAUCAUCGAGUCUUUGAACGCACAUUGCGCCCCCUGGUAUUCCGGGGGGCAUGCCUGUCCGAGCGCCAUUGCUGCCCUCAAGCACGGCUUGUGUGUUGGGCCUCCGUCCUCCUCCCGGGGGACGGGCCCGAAAGGCAGCGGCGGCACCGCGUCCGGUCCUCGAGCGUAUGGGGCUUCGUCACCCGCUCUUGUAGGCCCGGCCGGCGCUUGCCGACACAUCAAUCUUUUUUCCAGGUUGACCUCGGAUCAGGUAGGGAUACCCGCUGAACUUAAGCAUAUCAAAAGCGGAGGA